AUUGAACGCUGGCGGCAGGCUUAACACAUGCAAGUCGAGCGAGCGGCGGACGGGUGAGUAAUGCCUGGGAAACUGCCUGAUGGAGGGGGAUAACUACUGGAAACGGUAGCUAAUACCGCAUACCAUCAGAUGUGCCCAGAUGGGAUUAGCUAGUAGGUGGGGUAAUGGCUCACCUAGGCGACGAUCCCUAGCGGGUCUGAGAGGAUUACCAGCCACACGGGAACUGAAACACGGUCCAGACUCCUACGGGAGGCAGCAGGGGGGAAUAUUGGACAAUGGGCGAAAGCCUGAUGCAGCCAGGCCGCGUGUGUGAAGAGGGCCUUCGGGUUGUAAAGCACUUUCAGCGAGAAGGCGUUACUCGCAGAAGAAGCAACGGCUAACUCCGUGCCAGCAGCCGCGGUAAUUC
rnacentral:rRNA from 1 species